rnacentral:rRNA from 1 species
AUUGAACGCUGGCGGCAGGCCUAACACAUGCAAGUCGAGCGGUAACAGGGGUAGCUUGCUACCCGCUGACGAGCGGCGGACGGGUGAGUAAUGCAUAGGAGUCUGCCCGAUAGUGGGGGAUAACCUGGGGAAACCCAGGCUAAUACCGCAUACGUCCUACGGGAGAAAGGGGGCUCCGGCUCCCGCUAUCGGAUGAGCCUAUGUCGGAUUAGCUGGUUGGUGAGGUAACGGCUCACCAAGGCGACGAUCCGUAGCUGGUCUGAGAGGAUGAUCAGCCACAUCGGGACUGAGACACGGCCCGAACUCCUACGGGAGGCAGCAGUGGGGAAUAUUGGACAAUGGGGGGAACCCUGAUCCAGCCAUGCCGCGUGUGUGAAGAAGGCCCUCGGGUUGUAAAGCACUUUCAGUGAGGAAGAACGCCUGGUGGUUAAUACCCAUCAGGAAAGACAUCACUCACAGAAGAAGCACCGGCUAACUCCGUGCCAGCAGCCGCGGUAAUACGGAGGGUGCGAGCGUUAAUCGGAAUUACUGGGCGUAAAGCGCGCGUAGGUGGCUUGAUAAGCCGGUUGUGAAAGCCCCGGGCUCAACCUGGGAACGGCAUCCGGAACUGUCAAGCUAGAGUGCAGGAGAGGAAGGUAGAAUUCCCGGUGUAGCGGUGAAAUGCGUAGAGAUCGGGAGGAAUACCAGUGGCGAAGGCGGCCUUCUGGACUGACACUGACACUGAGGUGCGAAAGCGUGGGUAGCAAACAGG